rnacentral:sRNA from 1 species
UACACGAAACUUACGGUACCGAUAUAGGCGGAUGA